CUUUAGAUGAGAAAGCCCCGGUCUGUCAGGAUUUCUCCCUUCGUGGUGUUGGAAGACAUUUCAGGGUUUUUGUGUCCCCUUUGGCAUCCUUGCACACACAAGUUUGUAGGAAGUACCAGGCUAGCAAAAGAGUUGCUAUACUUACCUAUUUCACACCCAUGGAGAAUGGUGUCAUGGACAUGCUAAUUCUCACAGACACACUCCUAGGGCAGUCUGUCUUGGAGGAAGAAGGGAAGAACUUUGGGAUUUCUUAGGGAUAAGAGAGAGAUGCUGUUCUCAGCAUCCAGAUUUCUGUCAAAGGUGCAGUCUUCCUCUGCCCAAGGACUACUGGCUCCUGCUUUCAUCCUGGCUAACACCUACCUUCUGUGGUCAUCAUUCUGAAGUACUGCUUGCAUCUUAUCUAACACCAAUUUUCUGUGGUCAUCAGUCUGAAGAUGCCUCUCAUUCCCAGUCAAGAUGAUGGGCACAUGGAGACAAAGAGACCACCACAUCAUUCUCAGACCAUGAGCACAUACACCUCUAGGUCUGAUCCUUUCUGAGAAGAUGAGCAAGCAUCUUGCCAGAAGCUUCAUUGACAGCAAUCACCACUUUCUUUUGGAGAGAGCACUUCUUACAAAUGUUCUACAAGGUACAGGUUUGGACAAGAAGUUUAAGAGUGUACCUUAAACUUCUCCGAGUGAAGGUACACACAUUGACCCUGAGUUCCAUCUCUUUGCAUUGAAGUUGCCUCUUUGCCCAUCACAAGUUUGGUGAAAAUGAUUCACUGCUCAAGAAGAGA